GAAAAGCCGCAGCGAGGCUGUUGGAUACCAUCCUGACUCACGUGCACACAAGUUGAAGAGGACAGCAACACCUGAUCAACCGCCUGGUGACGAUACAUUCAACCCUUCACCUUUCCCUUCUGACAAAAUUAGUCAGGGUGGUCCGCUAAUCCGUGAAAUCAGUCUUAGUAAAGGCACUUCUAGCCGUGCACAUAAGUCGAAGAGGACAGCAACACCUGAUCAACCGCCUAGAGAAGAUACAUUCAAUCCUUCACCUUUGCCUUCUGAUAAAACUAGUCAAGGUGGUCUGAUAAUACGUGAAAUCAGCUUUAGUAAAGGCACUUCUAGCCGUACAGUUGCUCUUCCACCGCCACAUAUGAGAAAUUUCACGGGUGUAAGAAGUAACUUCCAACCUGUGCAGCUCAAUCCUCAACCAGUGCAGCUUAAUCCUCAGCCUGUGCAGCUUAAUACUCAACCUGUGCAGCUCAAUCCUCAACCUGUGCAGCUCAAUCCUCAACCUGCAGCUACUG
rnacentral:lncRNA from 1 species